rnacentral:rRNA from 1 species
GUGCCAGCCGCCGCGGUAAUACCGGCAGCCCGAGUGAUGGCCGCUGUUAUUGGGCCUAAAGCGUCCGUAGCUGGCCGCACGAGUCCGUCGGGAAAUCCGCCCGCUUAACGGGCGGACGUCCGGCGGAAACCAUACGGCUUGGGACCAGAGGACCCGAGGGGUACGUCGGGGGUAGGAGUGAAAUCCCGAGAUCCUCGACGGACCGCCGGUGGCGAAAGCGCCUCGGGAAGAUGGAUCCGACGGUCAGGGACGAAAGCUUGGGUCUCGAACCGGAUUAGAUACCCUAGUAGUCC